GCGUUCACCUAUGAUGCAAUGACAGCUCCUCGAGAUUGCGGCUGAAUCGGCUCUUGCUCGGUGUAAGGGACUAUUCAUUGCGGGGUUUUAACGGAAAAAAACAACAUUAACCAUUUUUUCAGACACAUCAAAGCGGCCAUCUGGUUAAAUUCAAGGAGGCUGCCCCUUUUUUCCUGCACUUCCUUUACUGCUCUCAGCGGGUCCCCUUCAUUUUCUGUCCUCCUUUCGCCCUGCAGGUUCUCCUGCAGAGUGAGACUCUCACAAGAAUGUGUCUAAUUUAGUGACUAAGAGGCAGAUUUAUACCUGUGCUAGUUAUGAAGAAGGUUGCUCCCCUGAGAAGCCCAAUGACUGUUUACGGGCAGCCCAACAAUGCCUUAGCAGAUGAUAAAGCACCUGCCAUGUCUGUUCCAUCCCUUUAUGUCCGUCGGCUCGCCUCCCUUUCCUCUCACUUUCUCUCUCUCUCGUUGUCUUCCUCUGCUCAGCCCAUCACUUCUUCCUCUCUCUUUGUUAUUUUUCUCAGCGGAGGCGCAUCUCCCUCAGUUACCAUGGAGUCGCGCAUUUUACAACCACUGCUUUCCCCAGACCGAAAAGAACCCUGGGUCGGGACAUCUGGCUGGGUUUACCUCGAGGCUGAAGGCUGGACCCUGGGGGCACAGAUGGGGCAGACCAAAGGAGACAAACGGCUCGGACCAAAGGAGCAGACCAAAUGAAGAUCAAACUGGCCAGCAUCACUGAGGCCGUUGUGGAGGAGGAGAGGCCCAGGCCAGAGGGGGACCGGUGCAACAAGAGGUGACUGAAGGACACAGUGUGGGGUCACGCUGCGGCUCUUCCUGCUCUGCUUGCUACAUGGCCCUCGUGCUCCGGAGGCCAGAGCCUGAUUGCUGCACUGGGAUCUCGGCACAGAGCGUUUUCAUUAGGGAAAGGGCCAAGAUCAUCCAGGAAGGUUCCGGCCCAUUAAUACAUUUGAAACGGCGAAUGAAAGCUGGGAGCUAGCCGAGGGGGGUUUAAGGGGGGUGGGGGGUGGCAGUGGGUUAUUUUGAAAGGGAAGAACCCUGCGGAAUGACACUGAGAGCCUUAGUGAAUAAAUGCCC
rnacentral:lncRNA from 1 species